rnacentral:tRNA from 1 species
GGAAUGGUGGCUGAAUUGGUAAGGCACCGGAUUGAUACUCUGGCGUGACGGCUCGCACCCGUCUUGCAGGUUCGAGUCCUGUCCAUUCCGCCA